rnacentral:rRNA from 1 species
UACGGAGGGUGCAAGCGUUAUCCGGAUUCACUGGGUUUAAAGGGUGCGUAGGUGGGUCUGUAAGUCAGUGGUGAAAUCUCCGGGCUUAACCCGGAAACUGCCAUUGAUACUAUAGGUCUUGAAUUAUCUGGAGGUAAGCGGAAUAUGUCAUGUAACGGUGAAAUGCUUAGAUAUGACAUAGAACACCAAUUGCGAAGGCAGCUUACUACGGAUACAUUGACACUGAGGCACGAAAGCGUGGGGAUCAAACAGG